GACCUGUUAAAAAGCUGACUCCUGGGCCUCACCUGGGGAGAUUCUGAUUCAGUGGGAUGUGGUGGGGUCCUGGAAUCUGCAUUUUAGCC
rnacentral:miRNA from 1 species